GACGAACGCUGGCGGCGUGCCUAAUACAUGCAAGUCGAGCGCCCCGCAAGGGGAGCGGCAGACGGGAGAGUAACACGUGGGAACGUACCCUUCAGUUCGGAACAACCCAGGGAAACUUGGGCUAAUACCGGAUACGCCCGAAAGGGGAAAGAUUCAUCGCUGAAGGAUCGGCCCGCGUCUGAUUAGCUAGUUGGUGGGGUAAUGGCCCACCAAGGCGACGAUCAGUAGCUGGUCUGAGAGGAUGAUCAGCCUCACUGGGACUGAGACACGGCCCAGACUCCUACGGGAGGCAGCAGUGGGGAAUAUUGGACAAUGGGCGCAAGCCUGAUCCAGCCAUGCCGCGUGGAUGAUGAAGGCCCUAGGGUUGUAAAGUCCUUUCGGCGGGGAAGAUAAUGACGGUACCCGCAGAAGAAGCCCCGGCUAACUUCGUGCCAGCCGCCGCCGUAACAC
rnacentral:rRNA from 1 species